ACCUGAUGAGCAUUUUAGAUGACGAGUCAGAUCGGGGUUACCCAUGUUGACACAAAUCAAAUUAUACCAUUCAUGCCUUCUGAAU
rfam:Pseudogymnoascus pannorum VKM F-3557 contig_2460, whole genome shotgun sequence.